CCUGGCGGCACUAGCGCGGUGGUCCCACCUGACCCCAUGCCGAACUCAGAAGUGAAACGCCGUAGCGCCGAUGGUAGUGCUCCCCAUGUGAGAGUAGGGAACUGCCGGCA
rnacentral:rRNA from 1 species